AGACGCGUGCGGGGACAGGGGAGGGGCGUCCUGCGAGGCUUUCAGGCUGCUGAGCCUGUUCCUUGGCUGGGGUCGGUAGGGCUUGGAGCCAGCCGUUCAAAGUCACCCCUGGGAAGCGCCCGCAACCCUUGGGGACGCCUCUCCUCCGGCUGCCCCCCUUCCCUGGAAUCCAGGUGUCACUGGGGCCGGGGAGGGGCUAGGAGCUCGGAUUUCUGCUUUGGGAAGUUUUUACAAGCCCACCCUCCCCCUGCCUUGGUUCCCCGAGCCAAGAAUUUCAGAAAUCCGGGGCACAAAAACGCCAGUGUUUGCGGUCAAGGAUUAAAGGCGCGAGGUGUCUUUAUUUAAUCUGCUCCGCCCUGCUCGGGUUUGCACGAGAAACCAAGCCUGGGAGCGACGGUCCACGCAAGCGGAGACACAGGCAAGUCGCGUGAGAGCACUUUUCUGAGCCCGAGUUGCUUGUCUUUUAUCGCCCGUGAGGAGGUAAAGAAAGGCAGACCUCUCCGGUGCACAAAUAAAGGAGCCGUGUUGUGACUUGCCGGCUCUGAGAUUGGGAGGCAGAAAAUAAAUACAAACCGCGACCUCAGUCCUGACCGUACCUCUAGCAGCCCCUCUGCUCCUGGGAGCUGUAAAUGCUUAAGUAAAUAAACCGCAAACCAGAAAAAUAAGGGCUUAGGAAAGAGCCGCUCACACAGAGAUGCGCAUCCAGGCGGGGCGCUCUCCAAGAGCUCCGAAUGGGGCAAGCAUUAUCCCCUGGUCACUGGACGCUGGGGUCUAGUGCCUAAUACGUUAAGCUGCUUCUCCCCAUCAUCAAGAAACUGCCGCAUCUGCCAUAUAAAGGAGAUGUUUCUCAUUCGCCCCCACUCAUCUCUUCCCCCAUGAAAACCUCUUCCAUUUUCAAAGGAUCUUCGGCUCUACUUUUCAAGCAAAUUCAACAAAUCAGUGUAUGCCUGUGUAACUGGUAAAUAGUGAAGGGUAAUUAUUUCAUGUGCUUCUAACUCAGAAACAAUGGAAUAUUAACAGCGGUUUUCUGAAGAUCCAGUUGGACAAUUUUCAUUUUCAUCAUAUAAUGGACAUUUAUCUCCUACCUGCAUUAUCCACUGUCUUCCCUCGGAGACCACAAAUUUCACUGAAGGCAGCAUCUAUGUCUUAUUCAUGCUUGUGCUCUCUACCUCCCCUGACCCAGAAGGACUUAUUCUUCUUUCUGCACAUUUUAGUAGAUGUGUUAAAAAAAAAAAAAAAAAGUUUGUUAAGAAGAUGUUUUAAUGGAAGGUGUGUCAGGCAUAUGGCAGGAUACAUGACCAUAUUUUUGGAGCAUGCAACACCUCGUAGCCCAUCUCUAUCAUAGCCUAUUUUCUCCGCCUGUAUGUAUGGAUAAUCCUAUUCAACAUUUUUAAGGUCUAGAAGCUGCUAGGUCACUAGAAAGUAAUUUUGCUAUGAUGUGAAGAGGUUCUCUAUGAUGAUGUAUGACUGAUAAAUUAUGAUGAUUAAUGUCAGAAUAUAAGGGUCACUGCCUAACUCAUUCUCUGUUAUCAGUAGAGGGAAAGGAGCUGCUUUCUCUUCACUAUUUUUUUCUAGAAGAAUUUUCUAUCCCUGUGUUUUCCAGUAUAGUGACUACUAGCCAUUUAGGCACGUAAGAUGUGGCUAGUUCUGAGAUGUGAAAUAGAUGUUAACACAUUGAAUUUCAAAGACUUAGUACAAAAAAAAGCAAAAUAUCUUAAUUUGUAUAGUGAUUACAUGUUGAAGUGGUAAUAUUUUGGAUAUUUGUGUUAAAUAAAAUAGAUUAUUAGAAUUUA
rnacentral:lncRNA from 1 species